AGUGAACGCUGGCGGCGUGCUUAACACAUGCAAGUCGAACGAGAACGGGUUAUAGCUUGCUAUAAUUGUCAGCUAAGUGGCGCACGGGUGAGUAAUGUAUAGGUAAUAUGCCUCUUACUAAGGGAUAACAGAUGGAAACGUUUGCUAAUACCUUAUACUCCUUAUUAACAUAAGUUAAUAAGGGAAAGAUUUAUUGGUAAGAGAUUAGCCUGUAUUGUAUCAGUUAGUUGGUGGGGUAAUGGCUUACCAAGACUAUGACACAUAACUGGUUUGAGAGGAUGAUCAGUCACACUGGAACUGAGACACGGUCCAGACUCCUACGGGAGGCAGCAGUGGGGAAUAUUGCACAAUGGACGAAAGUCUGAUGCAGCAACGCCGCGUGGAGGAUGACACAUUUCGGUGCGUAAACUCCUUUUAUAUGAGAAGAUAAUGACGGUAUUAUAUGAAUAAGCACCGGCUAACUCCGUGCCAGCCGCCGCUGUAAGAC
rnacentral:rRNA from 1 species